AAAAAAAUAAUAAUAAUUAAAAUCUGAAAGUUUUUCCCCAAACUAGCGCAGCCUUUAACCUACCUAAGAACUUAAAGAAAAAAAACACUGCUCUCUCCUCCUUGCAGCCAACGUACAACUAGCUCCUGCAAACCAUCUCCCUGUUGACCGACGAAGCCACCGGCUCUCUCCUCCUUCUCAAGUGACCGGCGAAACCACACUCACACACUCGCACCCUCUCUCCUCCUUCUCAGGUGACCGGAAAUUAUUUUUAGAACCAUAUCUUCCUAUCUCUAGCUUCCCCGCUUCUCUCUUGGGGUUUCGAUGUCGUCGUUUAUGGGGGUUUCCUCUAUCAUUCGAUCGGUGAUUACGGUGAAUGAUAACUCUCUGUCACUUUCUCUCUCAGAUUCUUGAAUGAUGAUAAUCAAGUUCUGGUAAUUUCCCUUUACUGCUUUAUUUAUACAGUUAAUUUCAAACUUUUUUGGUUGGAAUUGAACUAAUAGUUUAAAUCAUGUGUCGUUGCUAUUGCGGUUGAAAUUGUUUAGUGUAUUAGAAUGGAAAGCGGAAAAGUUGUGUUUCUGCAUUUGGUUAAUCAUUCUUCUGUCAUUUGCGGUUGAAAAACAGUGGUGGAAUUUGCGGUGGGAUCAAAUUUAGCUCUUUUCAUGAUAGGGAAAGUUGAGGAUCUCUGAAAUUUGAAUAACUGUAUGAAUAAUUCAAUAAUAGGAAGAAUGCUUAGGUAAGAAACUACCUGAAGGCAUAAGAAUACCAUUCACGCAGAUUCUUCAUAUUCCCACUGAAUUGUAUAUAUGCUCUAUCAGAUUUGUUAAAAUUAUGGCCCCUAUAUUUUAUCGGGAUGUUUGACCUUGUGUGUGGCAUAUGAUUCAAGUAUCUGGCUUACAUAUUAUGAUUAUAUUUUAAUGUAAUAUGUUAUUUAUUGUUUUCAUUUGCAAAUUUUAUAUUUUGCAGAGACUAAGUUUUUGUUCAAUAUAUAUGUGAUAGUUGAAGUCGCUAUUGGAUGUUCUUGGAUAACUAACUGAUUCUUAUUUUAAUCAUGCUUCCUGAAUGAAUUGGUACAUGGAUGGGGACUGGAUUUUUCUAUGUGAAUACAUGUUGAAAUUCAUCUUUCCAAGAACGACAUCCUAGGUUCUGGGAUUUCAUAAAAAAAGCAUGCACUAAGAUGAUGAAGGUUCUAAUUGCUUUCCAGGGAAAGCAUCCUUUCUCAUUUGGUGAUAAGAGCGUCCUUUCACCUGUCGUUGAUUUCUGCUUAAAUAAGAUCACCAAUCCAGAGGCUGAACUCUUUUCAUUUGAACAAUUUUUUAUCCAAUGUAUGGUGUUGGUAAAAUCUACCCUGGAAUGUAAAGACUACAGUCUUAUGGUUGGUUGUGUGAUAAAUGAAAAUGCAGUCACUGCAGAGCAGAGGAAGAAAAGUAUCUCUUCUGCUGUUGCUGAGAAUCUUGCCUCA